UACGUAGGGGGCAAGCGUUGUCCGGAUUUAUUGGGCGUAAAGAGCGUGUAGGCGGCUAGGUAGGUCCGUUGUGAAAACUCGAGGCUCAACCUCGAGCUGUCGAUGGAAACCAUCUGGCUAGAGUCCGGAAGAGGAGAGUGGAAUUCCUGGUGUAGCGGUGAAAUGCGCAGAUAUCAGGAAGAACACCCGUGGCGAAGGCGGCUCUCUGGUACGUGGCUGACGCUGAGACGCGAAAGCGUGGGGAGCGAACAGG
rnacentral:rRNA from 1 species